GACGAACGCUGGCGGCGUGCUUAACACAUGCAAGUCGAGCGGUAAGGCCCCUUCGGGGGUACACGAGCGGCGAACGGGUGAGUAACACGUGGGUGACCUGCCCUUAGCUCUGGGAUAAGCCUGGGAAACUGGGUCUAAUACCGGAUAUGACUCCAUGACGCAUGUUGUGGGGUGGAAAGCCUUGUGCGGCUAGGGAUGGGCCCGCGGCCUAUCAGCUUGUUGGUGGGGUGAUGGCCUACCAAGGCGACGACGGGUAGCCGGCCUGAGAGGGCGACCGGCCACACUGGGACUGAGACACGGCCCAGACUCCUACGGGAGGCAGCAGUGGGGAAUCUUGCGCAAUGGGCGAAAGCCUGGCGCAGCGACGCCGCGUGGGGAUGACGGCC
rnacentral:rRNA from 1 species